CCAGACUCCUACGGGAGGCAGCAGUGGGGAAUAUUGCGCAAUGGGGGAAACCCUGACGCAGCAACGCCGCGUGCGGGAUGAAGGCUUUCGGGUUGUAAACCGCUUUCAGCAGGGAAGAUAAUGACGGUACCUGCAGAAGAAGCCCCGGCUAACUACGUGCCAGCAGCCGCGGUAAUACGUAGGGGGCAAGCGUUAUCCGGAUUCAUUGGACGUAAAGCGCGCGCAGGCGGGCCGCUAAGCGGGGCCUCUAAUCUGGGGGCUCAACCUCAAGCCGGGUCCCGAACUGGCAGCCUCGAGUGCGGUAGGGGUAAGCGGAAUUCCCGGUGUAGCGGUGGAAUGCGCAGAUAUCGGGAAGAACACCGAUUGCGAAGGCAGCUUACUAAACUGCCACUGACAUUGAUGCUCGAAAGUGUGGGUAUCAAACAGGAUUAGAUACCCCCGUA
rnacentral:rRNA from 1 species